AAUGCCUUCGAAUAACUAAACAAUCAUACAAUGUUGUUUAGUUCAGACAGAGGCAAAUAUCAAUUAUUAUUAUAUAUCUGAAUUUGUUUGAGGGUGUGGAAUUUUUUUAAUACCGUUCCAUUCCUAGAUAUAUUCGGAUAUUC
rfam:Cicer arietinum chromosome Ca2, whole genome shotgun sequence.